rnacentral:rRNA from 1 species
UAACAGUUGGAAACGACUGCUAAUACCGCAUAAGCGCACAGGGUCGCAUGACCUGGUGUGAAAAACUCCGGUGGUAUGAGAUGGACCCGCGUCUGAUUAGCCAGUUGGUGGGGUAACGGCCUACCAAAGCGACGAUCAGUAGCCGACCUGAGAGGGUGAUCGGCCGCAUUGGGACUGAGACACGGCCCAGACUCCUACGGGAGGCAGCAGUGAGGGAUAUUGGGCAAUGGGGGAAACCCUGACCCAGCAACGCCGCGUGAGGGAUGACGGUUUUCGGAUUGUAAACCUCUGUCCUCUGUGAAGAUAGUGACGGUAGCAGAGGAGGAAGCUCCGGCUAACUACGUGCCAGCAGCCGCGGUAAUACGUAGGGAGCAAGCGUUGUCCGGAUUUACUGGGUGUAAAGGGUGCGUAGGCGGAUUGGCAAGUCAGAAGUGAAAUCCAUGGGCUUAACCCAUGAACUGCUUUUGAAACUGUUAGUCUUGAGUAGUGCAGAGGUAGGCGGAAUUCCCGGUGUAGCGGUGGAAUGCGUAGAUAUCGGGAGGAACACCAGUGGCGAAGGCGGCCUACUGGGCACCAACUGAC